rnacentral:rRNA from 1 species
UGGGGAAUAUUUGACAAUGGGCGCAAGCCUGAUCCAGCCAUGCCGCGUGAGUGAUGAAGGCCCUAGGGUUGUAAAGCUCUUUCACCGGUGAAGAUAAUGACGGUAACCGGAGAAGAAGCCCCGGCUAACUUCGUGCCAGCAGCCGCGGUAAUACGAAGGGGGCAAGCGUUGUUCGGAUUUACUGGGCGUAAAGCGCACGUAGGCGGACUAUUAAGUCAGGGGUGAAAUCCCGGGGCUCAACCCCGGAACUGCCUUUGAUACUGGUAGUCUUGAGUUCGAGAGAGGUGAGUGGAAUUCCGAGUGUAGAGGUGAAAUUCGUAGAUAUUCGGAGGAACACCAGUGGCGAAGGCGGCUCACUGGCUCGAUACUGACGCUGAGGUGCGAAAGCGUGGGGAGCAAACAGG